UACGUAGGGUGCGAGCGUUGUCCGGAAUUAUUGGGCGUAAAGGGCUCGUAGGCGGUUUGUCGCGUCGGGAGUGAAAACCAGGUGCUUAACACCUGGCUUGCUUUCGAUACGGGCAGACUAGAGGCAUGCAGGGGAGAACGGAAUUCCUGGUGUAGCGGUGAAAUGCGCAGAUAUCAGGAGGAACACCGGUGGCGAAGGCGGUUCUCUGGGCAUGUCCUGACGCUGAGGAGCGAAAGUGUGGGGAGCGAACAGG
rnacentral:rRNA from 1 species